rnacentral:lncRNA from 1 species
CCUUCCUGGUCCCAGCAUCUGCCUGCAGCCCGUGGCGUAGGGGCCACCUGGCCCCCAACCCCCUGCGGGCUCCACAGGGUGGCAGGGCUGGGUUUUGCUCCGGACCACAGAACCCAGAGCCUGCUUGGGGUUCCCGGGCUGCUGGCCCACCCUCCACAGGCCUCUCUCCCUAGGUGAGCCUGCUACUGCCCGAAGGCGACACACACUCGGCCAUCAUAUCUGCACGCUUCGAACACUGAGAAGCUGUGGCGUGGCUUUCUCAGCACUCAGUAAACAACUUGCUUUUCUGAGUGGCACCCACAGGGUCCUCCAGCUGUACUGGAAUGUCUAGAUCCUGACAACCCAGAGAAACACAGGAAUGAAAACGUCGCACUUCAGAAGUACAAAUGGAGGGCAAAUACAGAAAAUGUCCAGCUUCUAAUUGACACUGAAAUACACAUUCAGAGUGAGGUGUAACUUCACACAUGAAAACCAAGCAUGAGGUCCAGUGCCUCUGUGACUUUAAAAAGUCUUGUGGGUGAAUUUGAUGCAAUGUAAAGGGGAUGCAGCACUGGUUAAAGUUCAAUUACUGAAGCUUUAACUAGGAGUUUAUUUUAAGCCUCUGCAUUCAUAUAUCCAAUAGGGAAU